UUGUCCGUUCGUUCGUUUAUUCGUUCGUUCGUUGGUUCGUUCGUUUUCCGUCCGUACGUCAUAUCGUGUCGCCACUGAACUCUUCUCUUCAAUCCUAGUUUAUUCUCUUCUUCGUAUUGGUAAAAAUAAAAAAAUAAGAAUUAUAAUAAGUUGGAACGAUAUACCGAAUAUAAUAUAAAAUCUAGAUAUAAUAUUCGUCGGUAGAUAUAGAAUUAGAUUUUAUUCGACGAAAUUUUGUAUUUAAAAAAAAACUCGCCAAAAAUUCUUCCUUCCGUACGUCGUCAUAUCAACAACGCAUUUGUAAAGGAAAUACGUAUGAUCGUUAUUAUUAUGAUUAAUUUUAUUAAAUAUCUUCGAAAGAGAUACACGAAAGUAUAAGUCUUUGGACUCAAUAUUAUCUUAUCUGCUAAGAAAAUUUAUCACCUGUCGGUAAUAUACCAUAUAUCGUAAAAAAAUAAUAAAUAUUAAUAUAGAAAAUAUCUUAACGAUGUAAUAAGUAGAGCUAAAAGUAGUUUGUUCUCUAAAUGAUAAGACAAAAAUUGUUUCAUAUAUUUUUAAAUAUGAAAAUGAAAAUAAAUAUAAAGAAAAAAAAUAAAGUAAAAAAAGCACAUACAAAAUUCUUCUAAUUAGUAUUAAAUCAAAUUGUCAAAAUUGUUAUUCUAUUGUUAUUCGAUGGUCGCGUGAUAUAAAAUAAAUAAAUCGAUAAAGUAAGGUGCAUGUGUAAUAUUUUUGCAGGAAUUAUUAGUUCUAUUAAAUAAUUUCAAAUAAGAAUAUCAAUGCGCUUGCGUUUGGAGAUUUUUAUUAAUAGCCAAGUUCGUAGAAUCAAUUAGCGAUCAUAUAUCAAUGCCUAUUUCGUAUUAAUGAAUAUAAUAUAAUUCUUAUAAUAUUUCAUUUUCAUAAACGAAUCGAUUCAAUAAUUUAUAUUGUCGUAUGAUUUGUACCAAAAAUUAUAUAAUACAAAAUGUUUAGUAUAAACUAUUAAAAGUUUUCACGAAAAAUCGUUUUUAAGGAUAUACAGAAAUUAUAGAAAAUAUAAGUCACAUUAUAAUUGCGAUUUAUUUCAUUUAAAUUGGAAAAUUAUAAAGCGAAAUAAUAGAUUUCAUCGUUAUUGUUUUAUUGGUAUAAAUUUGACUCGAAGAGGUUUAGAAGUACGUAAAAUAAUAUUUCCUGUAAUUUUAAUAUCAUCUAA